rnacentral:rRNA from 1 species
AUUGAACGCUGGCGGCAGGCCUAACACAUGCAAGUCAAGCGGAGCGGCGGACGGGUGAGUAAUGCCUAGGCAUCUGCCUGGUAGUGGGGGAUCACGUCCGGAAACGGGCGCUAAUACCGCAUACUAUCAGAUGUUCCCAGAUGGGAUUAGCUAGUAGUUGGGGUAACGGCUCACCUAGGCGACGAUCCCUAGCUGGUCUGAGAGGAUGACCAGCCACACUGGAAAUGAGACACGGUCCAGACUCCUACGGGAGGCAGCAGUGGGGAAUAUUGCACAAUGGGCGCAAGCCUGAUGCAGCCAUGCCGCGUGUAUGAAGAAGGCCUUCGGGUUGUAAAGUACUUUCAGCGGGGAGGCGUUACCCGCAGAAGAAGCACCGGCUAACUCCGUGCCAGCAGCCGCGGUAAUAC